rnacentral:rRNA from 1 species
GUUGACCUCGGAUCAGGUAGGACUACCCGCUGAACUUAAGCAUAUCAAUAAGCGGAGGAAAAGAAACCAACAGGGAUUGCCCCAGUAACGGCGAGUGAAGCGGCAACAGCUCAGAUUUGAAAUCUGGCCCCAGGCCCGAGUUGUAAUUUGCAGAGGAUGCUUUUGGCGCGGUGCCUUCCGAGUUCCCUGGAACGGGACGCCAUAGAGGGUGAGAGCCCCGUACGGUUGGACACCAAGCCUUUGUAAAGCUCCUUCGACGAGUCGAGUAGUUUGGGAAUGCUGCUCUAAAUGGGAGGUACAUUUCUUCUAAAGCUAAAUAUUGGCCAGAGACCGAUAGCGCACAAGUAGAGUGAUCGAAAGAUGAAAAGCACUUUGAAAAGAGGGUUAAACAGCACGUGAAAUUGUUAAAAGGGAAGCGCUUGUGACCAGACUUGCGUCCGGUGAAUCACCCAGCUCUCGCGGCUGGGGCACUUCGCCGGCACAGGCCAGCAUCAGCUUGCCGUCGGGGACAAAAGCUUCAGGAACGUGGCUCCUCUCGGGGAGUGUUAUAGCCUGUUGCAUAAUACCCUUCGGCGGGCUGAGGUACGCGCUCCGCAAGGAUGCUGGCGUAAUGGUCAUCAGCGAC